GCAAUUCUUAUCAAAAAACCAAUAAUUUGCAUGGGAUUUGCAUAAAUAUUGUUUAAAACAAGAAUUUUUCUUAAUUGAGUGUAUCGUUUACGAUGGAAACGUUAAUUUUUUGUGGCAUGCUGUUUUUGCUUCUCGCUCUGGUCUUGGCUGACUCAAAUGACGACUUGAAUGAGGAAGAUUUUUACAUACUGCUUGAACGUAAAAUAAGAGAGGCAAUCGACUUCAAUUGAGAGAAUAGAAUAGAAAUUACAAUGAUAUAACUGUAUCCUUGCCUUUCGGUCAAAAAUGAGCCAGAAAAAGUUGAACUAAA